AACAACAACGAUUAUAUAUAUUAUUUAGAAAGAAAGAAGCAUUUGUACACUUGUUUUUAAGAAAGACACACAAAAAUUAUAUAAAACGAUACUUAUGAUAUGAACUGCCAGUUUUUCUUUCAGGGAUAAUAUCCGAACAUGGAAAUCAUUUGCAGGCAAUUAAAGGAUAUGUUGUUUGGUACUGACGUUGGAUAACUUGUAAAAUGCUUUUUCAGGUGUAAACAGAAUUCAAUAUGGUAUCUUAUUGUUACAUGGUACAUUUUCAUGAAUAUAAACAAUAUGUGAAUUUAAGGUUUUUUUUAUUUACCACCCAUUGCUGUUGUCUUCUUGAAGUCGCAAGAAAAAGUGACAUUGGGAAAUCAAACAAUAUGUACAUGUAGUUAUAACUGGCUUAAGUCAAUAGUUAAGGAAAUAUUACAAAAUCAAUUUGUACAAGAUUGGAGAAGUAUAGUAGAUAACUCACCAAAAUGUAUUAAUUAUAGAAUUUUUAAAACAAAUCUCAAUUUCGAAAAGUACUUGUUUAUUUUACCUACAGAUCUACGGAUCACGUUUACAAAAUUACGAACAUGUAAUCAUCGAUUCCCCAUUGAAACAGGUAGAUGGUAUAGUAUUGAAAAACAUUUCAGAAAAUGUACAAUGUGUGAUUCUAAUAGUAUUGUGGAUGAAUUUCAUUGUGUUUAAGAAUGUACACAUUUUGUAAACGACAGAAAAAUGUUUUUACCCAAGAGAUAUUAUGAAAACCCCAAAUUUUAUAAAAUUUAACGAGCUCAUGAAUACUUUUAAUGUAAAAAAACUAAAAAACUUGUCAAUAUUUAUUAAGAAAAUGUUUAAAGUCUGUUCUUCCAGAAACCAACUUUAACAACCUAUUGUAUUGUGAUUUUAACCUUUUUUGUCUUUAUUACUUCUACUGUACAUGUGAUCCUUGACUGUAUUCGUGUACAUUUGUAUAUACUGAUUUUGAACCUCAAAUACCAGUGAACUGGUCUUGAGUGAAUAAAGAAUUGAAUUG
rnacentral:sRNA from 1 species